rnacentral:rRNA from 1 species
GAUGAACGCUGGCGGUGUGCCUAAUACAUGCAAGUCGAGCGAACAGACGAGGAGCUUACUCCUCUGACGUUAGCGGCGGACGGGUGAGUAACACGUGGAUAACCUACCUAUAAGACUGGGAUAACUUCGGGAAACCGGAGCUAAUACCGGAUAACAUGUUGAACCGCAUGGUUCAACAGUGAAAGACGGUCUUGCUGUCACUUAUAGAUGGAUCCGCGUCGCAUUAGCUAGUUGGUAAGGUAACGGCUUACCAAGGCAACGAUGCGUAGCCGACGUGAGAGGGUGAUCGGCCACACUGGAACUGAGACGCGGUCAAGAGUCCUACGGGAGGCAGCAGUAGGGAAUCUUCCGCAAUGGGCGAGAGCCUGACGGAGCAACGCCGAGUGAGUGAAGAAGGUCUUCGGAUCGUAAAACUCUGUUAUUAGGGAAGAACAAAUGUGUAAGUAACUAUGCACGUCUUGACGGUACCUAAUCAGAAAGCCACGGCUAACUACGUG